AGUGAACGCUGGCGGUAGGCCUAACACAUGCCAGUCGAACGGCAGCACAGUAAGAGCUUGCUCUUACGGGUGGCGAGUGGCGGACGGGUGAGGAAUACAUCGGAAUCUACUUUUUCGUGGGGGAUAACGUAGGGAAACUUACGCUAAUACCGCAUACGACCUACGGGUGAAAGCAGGGGAUCUUCGGACCUUGCGCGAUUGAAUGAGCCGAUGUCGGAUUAGCUAGUUGGCGGGGUAAAGGCCCACCAAGGCGACGAUCCGUAGCUGGUCUGAGAGGAUGAUCAGCCACACUGGAACUGAGACACGGUCCAGACUACUACGGGAGGCAGCAGUGGGGAAUAUUGGACAAUGGGCGCAAGCCUGAUCCAGCCAUACCGCGUGGGUGAAGAAGGCCUUCGGGUUGUAAAGCCCUUUUGUUGGGAAAGAAAAGCAGCAGGUUAAUACCCCGCUGUUCUGACGGUACCCAAAGAAUAAGCACCGGCUAACUUCGUG
rnacentral:rRNA from 1 species